UCUAGGACGUCGUUACCAGCCCAUGGCAUCGUUGUUGCAGGUCGUGGCACUACACUCGUGAUGCUCCGAGGGAAACCUUAGAUCUGAGUCUACCGGUCGGACGAUGAUGGCAUCUUCGAUGUCACUUACCUUCUGAGGGCAUCGUUUUGGAGUACGUGCUAGGUGAACGGGACAAGAGGAGGAGCGGUGUUUGGUCUACCGUGAGCCAUACGGUGUAGCCCGGCG
rnacentral:lncRNA from 1 species